UACGGAGGGUGCGAGCGUUGUCCGGAAUCACUAGGCGUAAAGGGCGCGUAGGCGGCGCGGGGAGUCAACGGUGAAAGCUCGGCGCUCAACGCCGAGUCGGCCGUCGAUACUCCCGUGCUCGAGCACUGUAGAGGCAGGUGGAAUUCCGGGUGUAGCGGUGGAAUGCGUAGAGAUCCGGAAGAACACCGGUGGCGAAGGCGGCCUGCUGGGCAGUAGCUGACGCUGAGGCGCGACAGCGUGGGGAGCAAACAGG
rnacentral:rRNA from 1 species